rnacentral:rRNA from 1 species
AAUGAACGUUGGCGGCGUGGAUUAGGCAUGCAAGUCGUGCGAGAACCGUAGCAAUACGGGGACAGCGGCGAAAGGGAGAGGAAAACGUGGGUACCUACCCUCAGACCUGGGAUAGCGACGGGAAACUGUAGGUAAUACCACAUAAUGUCUUCGGACCAAAGGUGUGAUUCCGUCCGGGGAGGGGCCCGCGUCCUAUUAGCUUGUUGGUGAGGUAACGGCUCACCAAGGGGAAGAUGGGUAUGGGAUGUGAGAGCAUGAUCCCACUCACUGGGACUGAGACACUGCCCAGACACCUACGGGUGGCUGCAGUCGAGAAUCUUCGGCAAUGGGGGCAACCCUGACCGAGCGACGCCGCGUGCGAGAUGAAGGCCUUCGGGUUGUAAAUCGCUGUCAGUGGGGAGGAAAUACUGGUGGGUUCUCCCAUCAGUUUGACCUAUCCGCAGAGGAAGGACGGGCUAAGUUCGUGCCAGCAGCCGCCGUAA